GGAUGAACGCUAGCGGCAGGCUUAAUACAUGCAAGUCGAGGGGCAGCAGUCCCGCAGCAAUGCGGGAGCUGGCGACCGGCAAACGGGUGCGGAACACGUACAGAACCUUCCUUCGAGCGGGGAAUAGCCCAGAGAAAUUUGGAUUAAUACCCCAUAGCAUUACGAAGUGGCAUCACUUUGUAAUUAAAGAUUUAUCACUCGAAGAUGGCUGUGCGGCUGAUAGGUAGUUGGCGGAGUAACGGCCCACCAAGCCUUCGAUCAGUAACUGGUGUGAGAGCACGACCAGUCACACGGGCACUGAGACACGGGCCCGACUCCUACGGGAGGCAGCAGUAAGGAAUAUUGGUCAAUGGACGAAAGUCU
rnacentral:rRNA from 1 species